rnacentral:tRNA from 1 species
GAGGGUAUAGCUCAACUGGCAGAGCGCGUGCUUAGCAUGCACAAGGUCCUGGGUUCAAUCCCCAGUGGCCUCC